GCAAGUCGAACGGUAACAGGAAGUGCUUGCACUUUGCUGACGAGUGGCGGACGGGUGAGUAAUACUUAGGAACAUGCCUUUUAGCGGGGGACAACUAUUGGAAACGAUAGCUAAUACCGCAUAACGUCUACGGACCAAAGGGGGCUUCGGCUCUCGCUCAGAGAGUGGCCUAAGCGGGAUUAGCUAGUUGGUGUGGUAAAGGCGCACCAAGGCGACGAUCUCUAGCUGGUCUGAGAGGAAGAUC
rnacentral:rRNA from 1 species